rnacentral:misc_RNA from 1 species
UCUCCGUUGGUGAACCAGCGGAGGGAUCAUUACAGGACUCGCAAGACUCCUUCACCCUGUGAACUUCACUACAAGCACGUUGCUUCGGCGGGUGUCCCGGCGGGGGUUUUCCCUCGCCGGGGCGCACAGCCCGCCGGCAGCCUACUAUACUCUGUCUCUUUGCGUUGGCAUCUCGAGAAAAAACAAACAAGUUAAAACCUUCAACAACGGAUCUCUUGGUUCUG